UUAUAGAUUAUUUAUUAAUAUUUUUAUUAUAAAUUUAAAUUGUUAGAAAUAACUUAAAAAUUAAGUGUUUUAGUAUUUUAUAAAGAAAUAAUAAUUUUAAUAAUAGUAAAAUUGUAUUGUGAAAGAUUAUUGAAAUAUUUUGAAAAAUAAAUAUUUAUAAAGAAAACUUAAUUUGUUGUACCUUGUGUAUCAGGGUUUAUAAAAUAAAAAUUAAUUAUUUAAUUUUCUCGAUUUUAAAAGAGUUAGUGAAUUAUAAAAUUUAAUGUGAAAAAAUUAUUUUUAAUAAUUUACUGGAAAUGAAAAGUUAUUCGUUUUUAAAGGUAUCUAGUUUUUUAAGAAAUGAAUUUAAUUCAUUAAUAUAAGUAAUGUAUUAAUUUUUAAUAUAUUAUAAAUUAUUAAAAGUAAUUUAUGGGAUAAGCUGUGAAUUAAAUAUUUAAAAUUAAUUUUUUAAUUUAAAAAAUAUAAGCUUAGAAUUAGCUAUUAUUUGUAAUUAUGUCAUAAUUUAUUUUAAUUAAAAAUUAUUUAAUAUUGAUUUAAUUAUUUAUUAAAAUGUAUACUUUAAUUAUAAAAGUUUAGAAAUAAUGAUAAAAUUAGUAUAAGAUUUUGUGUUAAUAUAGUUAAAUUAUAGAUUUAAUUAAAGAAUUCGGCAAAUUAAUUACUAUUCGCCUGUUUAACAAAAACAUGUCUUUUUGAAUUUAAUUUAAAGUCUAACCUGCCCACUGAAAAUUUAAAUGGCCGCAGUAUAUUAACUGUGCAAAGGUAGCAUAAUCAUUAGUCUUUUAAUUGAAGGCUUGUAUGAAUGGUUGAACGAGAUAUUAACUGUUUCAUUUAAAUAUUUAAAAUUUUAUUUUUUAGUAAAAAAGCUAAAAUUUAAUUAAAAGACGAGAAGACCCUAUAGAUCUUUAUAAUCUAUAUAUUAAAUUUAUAAAGAAAAAUUUGGAUUUAAUAUAGAAAAUUAUUUUAUUGGGGUGAUAACAAAAUUUAAAAAACUUUUGUAUUUUUUAACAAAAAUUAUUGGUUAAUUGAUCCAUUUUUAAUGAUUAAUAAAUUAAGUUACCUUAGGGAUAACAGCGUAAUUUUUUUAGAGAGUUCAUAUCGAUAAGAAAUAUUGCGACCUCGAUGUUGGAUUAAGAGAUAUUAUUGGGUGCAGAAGUUCAAUUAAAUAAGUCUGUUCGACUUUUAAAUUCUUACAUGAUCUGAGUUCAAACCGGCGUGAGCCAGGUUGGUUUCUAUCUUUAGUUUAUUAAAAUAUUCUAGUACGAAAGGAUUGAAUAUUUGAAAUAGUUUUUAUUUAUUGAAAUUAACUAAUAU
rnacentral:rRNA from 1 species